GUCCUACGGGGGGCAGCAGUGGGGGAUAUUGCACAAUGGGGGAAACCCUGAUGCAGCGACGCCGCGUGAGUGAAGAAGUAUUUCGGUAUGUAAAGCUCUAUCAGCAGGGACGAAAAUGACGGUACCCGAGUAAGAAGCCCCGGCUAACUACGUGCCAGCAGCCGCGGUAAUACGUAGGAGGCAAGCGUUAUCCGGAUUUACUGGGUGUAAAGGGAGCGUAGACGGUUAUGCAAGUCUGUAGUGACAGGCGGGGGCUCAACCCCCGGACUGCUCUGGCAACUGUAGAACUCGAGUGCAGGUGGGGG
rnacentral:rRNA from 1 species